UACGUAGGGUGCGAGCGUUGUCCGGAAUUACUGGGCGUAAAGAGCUCGUAGGUGGUUUGUCGCGUCGUCUGUGAAAUCCCGGGGCUUAACUUCGGGCGUGCAGGCGAUACGGGCAUAACUUGAGUGCUGUAGGGGAGACUGGAAUUCCUGGUGUAGCGGUGAAAUGCGCAGAUAUCAGGAGGAACACCAAUGGCGAAGGCAGGUCUCUGGGCAGUAACUGACGCUGAGGAGCGAAAGCAUGGGGUAGCGAACAGGAUUAGAUACCCUGGUAGUCCAUGCCGUAAACGGUGGGCGCUAGGUGUAGGGGUCUUCCACGACUUCUGUGCCGCAGCUAACGCAUUAAGCGCCCCGCCUGGGGAGUACGGCCGCAAGGCUAAAACU
rnacentral:rRNA from 1 species